AUCAAGGGCUUGCUGGCUGAGAUCAGCGACAAGAAGACUAAGAAGACGAGAAGCCAGAAGAAGGAAACGUGCAGAUGCUUUCCACCAAGAAUGUUAAUGAAACACAUUCCUGUUGGGUUUUCUUGGAAACCACCUUGGAUUUAGGGAGCAAAAAGGGGGACCCUGCUCCCCCGUCUCCUUUGGAAGGGAGGAUUCUUCUGCCACGGAGGAGCAUGUCUGAGCCAAAGCUUCAACAGAACCUUCAAGUUCCAAGAGACAAUGUCUUCUGAGCUUUCCAUCAGACAGCGGCCACCCGCAAAAUAUGGAGGCUGGAUGCAAGCUGGAUGCAGGCUGGACCCCCCCCCCUCUUGUGGAAGCAGAGGUGGAAGGAAGGGGGUUUAUUUUGGUGUGUUUUUUUAGAUAAAUGUUCUCCGUAAUUGUGCCAUUGUUUGGAUUAAUCACAGACGUGAUUUUGUAUUUUAUUACACAAUAAAAGUGCACCAG